rnacentral:rRNA from 1 species
GAUGAACGCUGGCGGCGUGCCUAAUACAUGCAAGUCGAGCGAACAGAUGAGGAGCUUGCUCCUCUGACGUUAGCGGCGGACGGGUGAGUAACACGUGGAUAACCUACCUAUAAGACUGGGAUAACUUCGGGAAACCGGAGCUAAUACCGGAUAAUAUAUUGAACCGCUUGGUUCAAUAGUGAAAGGCGGUUUUGCUGUCACAUAUAGAUGGAUCCGCGCCGCAUUAGCUAGUUGGUAAGGUAACGGCUUACCAAGGCAACGAUGCGUAGCCGACCUGAGAGGGUGAUCGGCCACACUGGAACUGAGACACGGUCCAGACUCCUACGGGAGGCAGCAGUAGGGAAUCUUCCGCAAAGGGCGAAAGCCUGACGGAGCAACGCCGCGUGAGUGAUGAAGGUCUUCGGAUCGUAAAGCUCUGUUAUUAGGGAAGAACAAAUGUGUAAGUAACUAUGCACGUCUUGACGGUACCUAAUCAGAAAGCCACGGCUAACUACGUG